rnacentral:rRNA from 1 species
AUUGAACGCUGGCGGCAUGCCUUACACAUGCAAGUCGAACGCGCAAGGGGGGCAACUCCUGAGUAGAGUGGCGCACGGGUGAGUAAUGCAUCGGAACGUGUCCUGUAGCGGGGGAUAACCUAGCGAAAGCUAGGCUAAUACCGCAUACGUCCUACGGGAGAAAGUGGGGGAUCGUAAGACCUCACACUAUAGGAGCGGCCGAUGGCGGAUUGGCUAGUUGGUGGGGUAAAAGCCUACCAAGGCGACGAUCCGUAGCUGGUCUGAGAGGAUGAUCAGCCACACUGGGACUGAGACACGGCCCAGACUCCUACGGGAGGCAGCAGUGGGGAAUUUUGGACAAUGGGGGAAACCCUGAUCCAGCCAUGCCGCGUGAGUGAAGAAGGCCUUCGGGUUGUAAAGCUCUUUCGGCCGGGACGAAAUCGCACGCGUGAAUAUCGCGUGUGGAUGACGGUACCGGAAGAAGAAGGACCGGCUAACUACGUGCCAGCCGCCGCGGUAA